GGUGUGCUAGCCCAGUGGUGUGGAGUGUUGGUUGUGCAUCAGGAGGUCUUGGGUUCGAUCCCAAGCACGCCC
rnacentral:tRNA from 1 species